rnacentral:tRNA from 1 species
GCGGGAAUAGCUCAGUGGUAGAGCACAACCUUGCCAAGGUUGGGGUCGCGAGUUCGAAUCUCCGUUUCCCGCUCCA